GUUUACUCCACAUGGAAUCCCUGUAUUUUUAUGACAUGUACAGUUGGUUGUAAUGCCACACUACGUAUCAUGUACAACAUCAAAGAGCUAAGUAAGUAUAAAGGUAUGCUGUAUUUCUUCAGUUCAUGUCAACAAAAUCCCUUUCAACCUUGGAUACCUUCUGCUUAAAAAUCUUUAGCUAUUGCUGCGUUUUUAUUUGCAGCAUUUCUGUCCAAAAAUAAUAUUUGUAACAGGAAAAUGGAAUGAUGGAAUGCUUAGGCUGUCUUUUAAAUUUUGUUUUAUUUUAUUUUUGUUACAGUUUUAGAGUAUUUAACUCUUAGCUGUCCUUGGAAAGUAGGCAGGAGUCUCCCAAACUAAAGUGAUGUCUUAGAGUAUAGCAUCAGCUUUCUACUCAGCUACCUUAUUAUCGUUUUUGUCUUAAAUCAGCCUUCUUCCCCCACUAACCAUGACAUUUUCACCAUAUGAGAGGAUAUCUGACAGCAUAUUUGCUGAAGACUUUGGAGACGAUGAUCCAGCUGUCCCCCCCCUCCGCCCAAAUAAGACAAAGGGAACAAUUGUCCAACCUUUACUCCUGUUGAUGGCUAGGUACUUGCCAUUAGCUGGCAAAACAUUUUAGGGAACUGGAAAAGAUUUUGUUUGACAAAACAGUUUAAAAUACUGGUCACAAUUGAAACCAGCUGCUACAGAUACUCGCUUUUGCAGUAGUGUAAUUAUUAUAAUCUUUAAACUUUCUAUAGUGCUGCUACUACGAAGGCAAACGACUUGCAUGCGUUUAUUUUCAUACAGUGUAUCUGAAAUGUGCCUAUCUCUGAGGUGGACAGAUGCCAAUCAGUGCACAAGAGCUGACCCUACUUCGAUUUGUUGUGUACCUUCGUUAUCUGCCCAUUGUAAUGGAAAUCUGCCGCGCAUCAUGGACCCAAAGUGUGGAGCAUCAAGUGUUCACAGCUUCCCAUUGUGAAGUGAAGGUGUUGGGAGCACCUUGCCUUCAGGUGAGAUUAAAGUGCAUUAUCUCGCCUGACUUCCCAAUUGUACCGUUGUCCUGGAUGGUUGUUCCUAUAGAGACUUGAUGUCCCUUGUGUUACUGGC
rnacentral:lncRNA from 1 species